AGGACGAACGCUUGCGACGUGCCUAAGAAAUGCAAGUCGAACGGGGUAGCAAUACCUAGUGGCGAACGGUCGCGUAACACGUGGGCAACCUGCCUUGAAGCGGGGGACAACAAUCCGAAAGGGUUGCUAAUACCGCAUGUGAACUUUUGUGGCAUCACGAAAUGUUCAAAGCUUUAUGCACUUCAAGAUGGGCCCGCGGCCUAUCAGCUAGUUGGUGGGGUAACGGCCUACCAAGGCUUCGACGGGUAGCUGGUCUGAGAGGACGAUCAGCCGGAUUGGGGACUGAGAUACGGCCCAGACUCCUACGGGGGGGCAGCAAUUAGGAAUCUUGCGCAAUGGGGGGCAACCCUGACGCAGCGACGUCGCGUGGAGGAUGAAAUCUUUCGGGAUGUAAACUCCUUUUACCAGGGAAGAAAAAAUGACGGUACCUGGUGAAUAAGCCCCGGCUAACUACGCGCCAGCAGCCGC
rnacentral:rRNA from 1 species